GCGAAGAGUUUACAAAUCUUUGAGGUUGCUUAAUAACUUUAUCCUUGAAUAAGAACAGUGUUUUUGAAGGAAUAUCGCAUAACUAUUUCAACCUAUCAUUUUCCAUUACGAAAAAGGGUUAGACAUUGCAUUAAUUCACGCACCAUGAUAUUAAGUUGAAUUUCACUCCUGUAAUCGUUUUGUCAAAGUUGAGCAGACAUGAAUGGUGGUGCUUCAAGGGAGACUUAAAGACUUACUGUGCAAAUUGAAUUUUCCUUCUACAAUCACUUCCAAGUCAAACAUCCAACUUUUCCCUCAGUCUAACUCAGAAUCAACC
rnacentral:lncRNA from 1 species